UACGUAGGGUGCGAGCGUUGUCCGGAAUUACUGGGCGUAAAGAGCUCGUAGGUGGUUUGUCGCGUUGUUCGUGAAAACUCACAGCUUAACUGUGGGCGUGCGGGCGAUACGGGCAGACUGGAGUACUGCAGGGGAGACUGGAAUUCCUGGUGUAGCGGUGGAAUGCGCAGACAUCAGGAGGAACACCGGUGGCGAAGGCGGAUCUCUGGGCCUUACCUGACGCUCAGGUGCGAAAGCUAGGGGAGCGAACAGG
rnacentral:rRNA from 1 species